rnacentral:ncRNA from 1 species
GACCGGAAACCGAUCGAUCUAGCCAUGAGCAGGUUGAAGAGAGCUCUAACAGGCCUUGGAGGAACGAACCCACGUAUGCGGCAAAAUACGGGGAUGACUUGUGGCUAGGGGUGAAAGACCAACCAAGAUCAGAUAUAGCUGG